ACAGAAACGACAGGGUAGGAAGAAGGAAGAGAGAUGAGACACUUCUUGCUUGAUCCAGGGCAAGAACUGAGAGGCAGUAAGAAUAUACCAAGAAACUCCAUAUGGACGACGGUGGUACUUUCCUUUCAUUUGUCAAGAUUCACGCAAAGUAGCUAAACUAGGAAGUGCACAGAAUCCGUGCCGUUCAGCCUUUUGACUUCACCCAUAGCGCGCAAGUUCUGAAAAGCUCUCCCUAGGUGAGGAAAAAGGAAGGGACAGUCUUGUGCAGCAGAAGGGACAGUGUACCUGCUCCAGCAGGAGGACCCUCUUCGAGUGUUUGGCCAGGUGGUACGCAGUGAAGCUGCCCUGGAUGCCUGCCCCGAUCACAAUAGCAUCCCAGACAUCUUUCUGAGCAGCCAUGAUGUCCGUCCGCUUAGUCCUACAGCCACAAAUGCAUGAAGGAGAAAGCAAACAAAGACGGCCUCCUGGCUAGAGAAGGAAGGCAAAGUCCAGUUUGGCCAGAGUUCCCACAAUCCCCUGGUGACCCUGUCCUUGUCUUUCCCUCCCUUCUGAAAGCCUGGCACAGGGCUCAGCCUCCGCCUCCCUUGCGGAGCAGAGAGGGGUAGACUGAUUUGUGAGGUUUAGCCCAGCUCAGCUGCCAGCCUCACCCUUGCAUUCCUCUAACUUGCUAUUCUUGGCUCAAUUAUUGUCAUGCAAAUGGGCUCCUUCCUAUGCCACCUUCCUGUCUCAUUAUGAUCUUUGUCUCGGGACUUCGGCCCUGGAAUUUCAAUGCCUCCUAGACCAAGCCGGGCACCGGGAAUGCUGCCUCACCCUGCUGGCUUCCCUCUCUGCAGCUUGAUUCCCUCUCGAGAUCUACAGGCCCAGCUAAGAACUUGGCGGAAUGCCCAGGGUCUGGCCCUCCUCCCUGCUUGAAGAUAGCCUCAAGUUCUUUGACAGUCUUUCCCCCACAUGCUUUCCCGGUAGAACGUGGUGACCGCCACACUCUGGCCUAGGCCUUCAGACAAUGUCCUCCUCUUGCCUUGGAGAACGCAUUCUUAGACCUUGAACUGCCGUGUUAGACGUUCAGCCAUGGAGACAGCAGAUGAAGAAGCCCCAGGACGACACAGAGAGCCACACGUAAGAGAAAAGCCAUCUUGGACCUCAUGCCCAGGCCAAUUAAACGCUAGCGUGACCUGGUCAGAGCCACAUGACCCAACAUCAUUCAGCCAAGCUGCAUCAAUAUUCCUCGGUUUUAUGAGGUAGAAUAAAAUGCUAGUUUUUAGACACUAA